rnacentral:rRNA from 1 species
GACGAACGCUGGCGGCGUGCCUAAUACAUGCAAGUAGAACGCACAGUUUAUACCGUAGCUUGCUACACCAUAGACUGUGAGUUGCGAACGGGUGAGUAACGCGUAGGUAACCUGCCUGGUAGCGGGGGAUAACUAUUGGAAACGAUAGCUAAUACCGCAUAAUAUUAAUUAUUGCAUGAUAAUUAAUUGAAAGGUGCAGUUGCACCACUACCAGAUGGACCUGCGUUGUAUUAGCUAGUAGGUGAGGUAACGGCUCACCUAGGCGACGAUACAUAGCCGACCUGAGAGGGUGAUCGGCCACACUGGGACUGAGACACGGCCCAGACUCCUACGGGAGGCAGCAGUAGGGAAUCUUCGGCAAUGGACGAAAGUCUGACCGAGCAACGCCGCGUGAGUGAAGAAGGUUUUCGGAUCGUAAAGCUCUGUUGUAAGAGAAGAACGGGUGUGAGAGUGGAAAGUUCACACUGUGACGGUAUCUUACCAGAAAGGGACGGCUAACUACGUG